UGUGAAAGCAACCUGACGGUACCAGAGGAAUCAGCAUCGGCUAACUACGUGCCAGCAGCCGCGGUAAUACGUAGGUGGCAAGCGUUGUCCGGAUUUAUUGGGCGUAAAGCGAGCGCAGGCGGAAUGAUAAGUCUGAUGUGAAAGCCCACGGCUCAACCGUGGAACUGCAUCGGAAACUGUCAUUCUUGAGUGCAGAAGAGGAGAGUGGAACUCCAUGUGUAGCGGUGGAAUGCGUAGAUAUAUGGAAGAACACCAGUGGCGAAGGCGGCUCUCUGGUCUGCAACUGACGCUGAGGCUCGAAAGCAUGGGUAGCGAACAGGAUUAGAUACCCUGGUAGUCCAUGCCGUAAACGAUGAGCGCUAGGUGUUGGGGACUUUCCGGUCCUCAGUGCCGCAGCAAACGCAUUAAGCGCUCCGCCUGGGGAGUACGACCGCAAGGUUGAAACUCAAAGGAAUUGAC
rnacentral:rRNA from 1 species